UGGGGAAUAUUGGACAAUGGGCGCAAGCCUGAUCCAGCAAUGCCGCGUGAGUGAUGAAGGCCUUAGGGUUGUAAAGCUCUUUUACCCGGGAAGAUAAUGACUGUACCGGGAGAAUAAGCCCCGGCUAACUCCGUGCCAGCAGCCGCGGUAAUACGGAGGGGGCUAGCGUUGUUCGGAAUUACUGGGCGUAAAGCGUACGUAGGCGGUGUCUCAAGUCAGAGGUGAAAGCCUGGAGCUCAACUCCAGAACUGCCUUUGAAACUAGGACGCUAGAAUUGCGGAGAGGUGAGUGGAAUUCCGAGUGUAGAGGUGAAAUUCGUAGAUAUCCGGAGGAACACCGGUGGCGAAGGCGGCUUCCUGGACCGAUCACUGACGCUGAGGCGCGAAAGCUAGGGGAGCAAA
rnacentral:rRNA from 1 species